rnacentral:lncRNA from 1 species
CAGGAAAGUAAGUACUUUUGCCUGUGCUGCAUCUGCCCCUCUGACCCGGGAGCGCAUCAAGCCUUCUCGACGAUCAUUCCGAAGAACCCGCACUUUUUCAAUUUUUCCCAACAGAGCACCAUCAUCAGGAUCAUUACUGUAGUCAUCCACUAGUAUGAUUUCCUUAAUAAGAUGUGAUGGGCUUUUUUUAAGGACACUGACAACCGUUCGAAGCAAAGCAGAUCUUGCCUCAUUAUGAAAGGUGAUUACCACACUAGUGGCUGGCAAGUCUAUCCUCCAUUGUUUCCGUUGACACUGAUCAUGCCUCGUGUCAGGAAUGUUUCGGUCCAUUCGUAGUUUGUCACUUUCUACCUGAUUGAACUUAUUGCGAGCAUAUGGAUCCUGACCAGAUCGCACCAUGGUAGCGCUAACAUAAGCAUCUUGAUCAAAGUCUUGCCACCGAACUUUGCCUGGGGGUAAUGUCUCCACACUUUGUGCUUUGUCCUCCCCAUCACUGACAUGCAUGUCUUUCCUUUUGGCAUCAAUGUCGUUUGGGUCCUCCUUCCUGCCGCCUCCGCCGCCGGCCAGCGCGGCGCUGCCGCCCGAGUACAUGUAGUAAGCGAUGCCCAGCACCCAGAGGAAGGCGAAGCAGAGGAGCAGCCGGGACCUGCGCCGCAUCGUCCCCCGCGCCGCCGCCAGGCCACCAGGAAACGGCCAGCAGCAGCAGCAGCAGCAGCCGCCGCGCCCGCCGCCGCCGCCGCGCAGGGUCAGGGGGC